AACGAACGCUGGCGGCAGGCUUAACACAUGCAGGUCGAACGGGUGUAGCAAUACAUCAGUGGCAGACGGGUGAGUAACACGUGGGAACCUUCCUAGGGGUACGGAACAACUCAGGGAAACUUGAGCUAAUACCGUAUACGUCCGUGAGGAGAAAGAUUUAUCGCCCUUAGACGGGCCCGCGUCGGAUUAGCUAGUUGGUGGGGUAACGGCCUACCAAGGCGACGAUCCGUAGCUGAUCUUGGAGGAUGAUCAGCCACACUGGGACUGAGACACGGCCCAGACUCCUACGGGAGGCAGCAGUGGGGAAUCUUGGACAAUGGGCGCAAGCCUGAUCCAGCCAUGCCGCGUGAGUGAAGAAGGUCUUCGGAUUGUAAAGCUCUUUUGCCAGGGACGAUAAUGACGGUACCUGGAGAAUAAGCCCCGGCAAACUUCGUGCCAGCAGCCGCCGUAA
rnacentral:rRNA from 1 species